rnacentral:rRNA from 1 species
AUUCCAGCUCCAAUAGCGUAUAUUUAAGUUGUUGCAGUUAAAAAGCUCGUAGUUGGAUUUCGGAUGGGUUUGACCGGUCCGCCUUUGGUGUGCACUGGUCGCGCCUAUCUUGCUGUCGGGGACGCGCUCCUGGCCUUAAUUGGCUGGGACGCGGAGUCGGCGAUGUUACUUUGAAAAAAUUAGAGUGUUCAAAGCAGGCCUAAGCUCUGAAUACAUUAGCAUGGAAUAACGCUAUAGGACUCUGGUCUUAUUGCGUUGGUCUUCGAGACCGGAGUAAUGAUUAAUAGGGACAGUUGGGGGCAUUAGUAUUUAAGUGUCAGAGGUGAAAUUCUUGGAUUGCUUAAAGACUAACUUCUGCGAAAGCAUUUGCCAAGGAUGUUUUCAUUG